CCGCUAUUCGUACCCCGGGCAAGGGAACCGAUCGUUACUGGGGAAAACUUGAGCGGUGGAGGGGUCUUUCCAUUUUCCGAGGGGGCGUCGUUGGUAGUCGAUCGAAGAGGAAGGAACAGAGAGAGAGGGAAAGAGAUUGAGUGAGUGAGUGAGUGAGUGUAUGUACGAGAGAGAGAGAGAGGGAGAGUAUCAGACAGUGAACAGACAGAAAUGGUGAAGAAAGUUAGAAGAAAUCGAAUACACGUUUCUCGAUUUGAAGAAAUUAAAGCUGAAUUCCAGAAGAUCUGAAGACUGCUUUUACAGCAACAAUCAGGAAACACCAUACCUUGACAUUAUUCAUUUUUUAAAGACAAUCAAUAUUUUUCAAUAUAUUAUAUAACUCU
rnacentral:lncRNA from 1 species